CAACUCUCAACAACGGAUAUCUUGGCUCCCGUAACGAUGAAGAACGCAGCGAAAUGCGAUACGUAGUGUGAAUUGCAGAAUUCCGUGAACCAUCGAAUCUUUGAACGCAUAUUGCGCCUGAGGCUUCGGCCAAGGGCAUGUCUGCCUCAGCGUCG
rnacentral:rRNA from 1 species